GAUCUUAUAGUUAAAUGGUUAUAACACCAUCCCUUCACGAUGGGAGUACCAGUUCGAUUCUGGUUGAGAUUA
rnacentral:tRNA from 10 species